rnacentral:rRNA from 1 species
UACAGAGGUCCCGAGCGUUGUUCGGAUUUAUUGGGCGUAAAGGGUGCGUAGGCGGCGGAGUAAGUUGGGUGUGAAAUCCCGAGGCUCAACCUCGGAAUUGCAUUCAAUACUGCUUCGCUCGAGUACUGGAGAGGAGGCUGGAAUUUACGGUGUAGCAGUGAAAUGCGUAGAGCUCGUGAGGAAGACCGGUGGCGAAGGCGGAUCUCUGGACGGCCCCUGACGCUGAGGCGCGAAGGCUAGGGGAGCAAACGGG